UACGAAGGGGGCUAGCGUUGCUCGGAAUCACUGGGCGUAAAGGGUGCGUAGGCGGGUUUUAAGUCAGGGUGAAAUCCUGGAGCUCAACUCCAGAACUGCCUUUGAUACUGAAGAUCUUGAGUCCGGGAGAGGUGAGUGGAACUGCGAGUGUAGAGGUGAAAUUCGUAGAUAUUCGCAAGAACACCAGUGGCGAAGGCGGCUCACUGGCCCGGUACUGACGCUGAGGCACGAAAGCGUGGGGAGCAAACAGG
rnacentral:rRNA from 1 species